AAUGAACGUUGGCGGUAUGGAUUAGGCAUGCAAGUCGAGCGGGUGUAGCAAUACACCAGCGGCGGAAGGGACAGUAAUGUGUAGAUACCAACCCUCGGGACGGGGAUAGCUGCGGGAAACUGCAGGUAAUACCCGAUAACGUCUAAGGACCAAAGGUGUGAUUCCACCUGAGGACGGGUCUGCAUCCUAUUAGCUAGUUGGCGGGGUAAUGGCCCACCAAGGCUGUGAUGGGUAGCGGGUGUGAGAGCACGACCCGCGUCACUGGGACUGAGAACUGCCCAGACACCUACGGGUGGCUGCAGUCGAGGAUUUUUGGCAAUGAGCGCAAGCUUGACCAAGCGAUACCGCGUGCGGGAUGAAGGCCUUCGGGUUGUAAACCGCUGUCAGUGGGGAGGAAGGUUUCGUGAAGAACGGAACUUGACUAAUCCGCAGAGGAAGUGAGGGCUAAGCUCGUGCCAGCCGCCGCCGUAAAAC
rnacentral:rRNA from 1 species